UACGGGGGGAGCAAGCGUUGUUCGGAAUUACUGGGCGUAAAGCGCGCGUAGGCGGCUUUGCAAGUCGGGUGUGAAAUCCCCAGGCUUAACCUGGGAACUGCAUUCGAGACUGCAUUGCUAGAGUAUGGGAGAGGGAAGUGGAAUUUCCGGUGUAGCGGUGAAAUGCGUAGAUAUCGGAAGGAACAUCAGUGGCGAAAGCGACUUCCUGGACCAAUACUGACGCUCAUGUGCGAAAGCGUGGGGAGCAAACAGG
rnacentral:rRNA from 1 species